UACGUAGGGUGCAAGCGUUGUCCGGAAUCAUUGGGCGUAAAGCGCGCGUAGGUGGCCCCGUAAGUCCGCUGUGAAAGUCAAAGGCUCAACCUUUGAAAGCCGGUGGAUACUGUGGGACUAGAGUACGGAAGAGGCGAGUGGAAUUCCUGGUGUAGCGGUGGAAUGCGCAGAUAUCAGGAGGAACACCAAUAGCGAAGGCAGCUCGCUGGGACGUUACUGACACUGAGGCGCGAAAGCGUGGGGAGCGAACAGG
rnacentral:rRNA from 1 species